GAUGAACGCUGGCGGCGUGCCUAAUACAUGCAAGUCGAGCGAACAGACGAGGAGCUUGCUCCUCUGACGUUAGCGGCGGACGGGUGAGUAACACGUGGAUAACCUACCUAUAAGACUGGGAUAACUUCGGGAAACCGGAGCUAAUACCGGAUAAUAUAUUGAACCGCAUGGUUCACUAGUGAAAGACGGUUUUGCUGUCACUUAUAGAUGGAUCCGCGCCGCAUUAGCUAGUUGGUAAGGUAACGGCUUACCAAGGCGACGAUGCUUAGCCGACCCGAGAGGGAGGUCGGCCACACGGGAAGAGAGACAGGGCACAGACUCCGACGGGAGGAAGCAGUAGGGAAUCUUACGCAAUGGGGGAGAGCCUGACGGAGCAACACCGCGGGAGGGAUGAAGGUCUUCGGAUCGGAAAACUCUGUUAGUAGGGAGGAACAAAUGUGUAAGUAACUAUGCACGUCUUGACGGUACCUAAACAGAAAGCCACGGCUAACUACGUG
rnacentral:rRNA from 1 species